AAGACUCACCCUUCUGCUCUCACCCUUCUGCUCUCACCCUUCUUGACUCACCCUUCUGGACUCACCCUUCUGCUCUCACCCUUCUGGACUCACCCUUCUGCUCUCACCGUUCUGCUCUCACCCUUCUUGACUCACCCUUCUGGACUCACCCUUCUGGCCUCACCCUUCUGGACUCACCCUUCUGCUCUCACCCUUCUGCUCUCACCCUUCUUGACUCACCCUUCUGGACUCACCCUUCUUGACUCACCCUUCUGGACUAACCCUUCUGCUCUCACCCUUCUGGCCUCACCCUUCUGGACUCACCCUUCUGCUCUCACCCUUCUGGACUCACCCUUCUGCUCUCACCCUUCUGGACUCACCCUUCUGGACUCACCCUUCUGGACUCACCCUUCUGGACUCACCCUUCUGGACUCACCCUUCUGGCCCUACCCAUCUGCUCUCACCCUUCUGGCCUCACCCUUCGGCUCUCACCCUUCUGCUCUCACCCUUCUGGACUCACCCUUCUGGACUCACCCUUCUGGCCUCACCCUUCUGCUCUCACCCUUCUGGACUCACUCUUCUGGACUCACCCUUCUGCUCUCACCCUUCUGGAUUUACCCUUCUGGACUCACCCUUCUGCUCUCACCCUUCUGGAUUUACCCUUCUGGACUCACCCUUCUGCUCUCACCCUUCUGCUCUCACCCUUCUGGACUCACCCUUCUGGCCUCACCCUUCUGCUCUCACCCUUCUGGACUCACCCUUCUGGACUCACCCUUCUGGCCUCACCCUUCUGCUCUCACCCUUCUGCUCUCACCCUUCUGGCCUCACCCUUCUGCUCUCACCCUUCUGCUCUCACCCUUCUGGACUCACCCUUCUGCUUCACCCUUUCUGCUCUCACCCUUCUGGACUCACCCUUCUGAACUCACCCUUCUGGACUCACCCUUCUGGCCUCACCCUUCUGGACUCACCCUUCUGCUCUCACCCUUCUGCUCUCACCCUUCUGGACUCACCCUUCUGCUCUCACCCUUCUGCUCUCACCCUUCUGGACUCACCCUUCUGGACUCACCCUUCUGGACUCACCCUUCUGCUCUCACCCUUCUGCUCUCACCCUUCUAG
rnacentral:lncRNA from 1 species